rnacentral:rRNA from 1 species
GGCUCAGAUUGAACGCUGGCGGAAUGCUUUACACAUGCAAGUCGAACGGCAGCACGGGAGCUUGCUCCUGGUGGCGAGUGGCGAACGGGUGAGUAAUGCGUCGGAACGUACCGAGUAAUGGGGGAUAACGCACCGAAAGGUGUGCUAAUACCGCAUACGCCCCGAGGGGGAAAGCAGGGGAUCGUAAGACCUUGCGUUAUUCGAGCGGCCGACGUCUGAUUAGCUAGUUGGUGGGGUAAAGGCCUACCAAGGCGACGAUCAGUAGCGGGUCUGAGAGGAUGAUCCGCCACACUGGAACUGAGACACGGUCCAGACUCCUACGGGAGGCAGCAGUGGGGAAUUUUGGACAAUGGGGGCAACCCUGAUCCAGCCAUUCCGCGUGAGUGAAGAAGGCCUUCGGGUUGUAAAGCUCUUUCAGCUGGAACGAAACGGUACGCUCUAACAUAGCGUGCUAAUGGCGGUACCAGCAGAAGAAGCACCGGCUAACUACGUGCCAGCAGCCGCGGUAAUACGUAGGGUGCGAGCGUUAAUCGGAAUUACUGGGCGUAAAGCGUGCGCAGGCGGAUUGUUAAGCAAGACGUGAAAUCCCCGGGCUUAACCUGGGAAUGGCGUUUUGAACUGGCAGUCUAGAGUGUGUCAGAGGGGGGUAGAAUUCCACGUGUAGCAGUGAAAUGCGUAGAGAUGUGGAGGAAUACCAAUGGCGAAGGCAGCCCCCUGGGAUAACACUGACGCUCAUGUACGAAAGCGUGGGUAGCAAACAGGAUUAGAUACCCUGGUAGUCCACGCCCUAAACGAUGUCAACUGGUUGUUGGGGGAGUGAAAUCCCUUAGUAACGAAGCUAACGCGUGAAGUUGACCGCCUGGGGAGUACGGUCGCAAG